rnacentral:lncRNA from 1 species
CCACACCCACACCCACACCCACACCCACACCCGCACCCACACCCACACCCAUACCCACACCCACACCCACACGCUGUCCCCCUUUCCCCUCUCACCUCCCAAUGGGCCCCCGCGAGCUCCGCCCCGACCCACAUCCCAUACACACACACACACGCUCUCUCUCUCCCACCUGCCACACUCCCUAGCUCCGGAAUAUCGUCCGCGGGUCCCCCCCGGGUAUUCUCCGUACCGCUGUCCGCCACCUCACGAUCGUGCCGUGCUACUUUUCAUGCAGAAGCACAUACAAACAUACGCAAAUAACUAAAACAAAAAACGCACGUUAAACAACUUGCCAAUGUGGCCUCAUGGGAGGUGACGGGACUUUGGGAAAUAGCUACACGACAAAACACGUCAACAGCCGAGACAACGGCACGCAACGAGACAGACAGAUAGAUAGAUUAACUGACUCACAGGCAGACAGACAGACAGACCGAACACACCAGGAACAAUGACAUGGCAAUGACAGGGGCGCUGGACUGCAGGUCUCGGUGUGCCAACCGCCAAACUACCAUCCAACUACUACCAGCUAACACAUAAGCAUCCCAGGGAAAAAGAGCGCUGUAUGACCCACGGGUCCGUCCAUUCCCACGCUGCUGCUUCCCCUGCCCUCUCCCGUCCCCACCUGCUCCGCGGACGCCUCGCUGGUAGUGGCAGGCGGUGUCCUUAUGUCCGGUUGCGGUGGGCGUUGUGCUGUUCUAUUGCCGACGUGGAGCGAGACGUUGAUUGAGUUUGUGUGCGCGUGGAAAAAAAGGGUUUUGUAAGGGGGUAGCGGCGGUUGGAGUUGGGCGAGAGGGAGGAGGGAUGGCGGGUGCAAAGGUGCUGCCGGCGGGUAUUAGUCCUGGUGGAGUUAUGUGGCGGGUGGAGAGCAGUUUUCGGGACAUGCCGAGUAUCGAGUGUCACGUGUAGAUGUGUAUGCGGUUUUCUGCACCAACCUCACAACCACAUUCCCCCUCUUCCCGCCUCCCGGCGCCCACAGGGGGCCCCCUGUCGCACUCACGUUCCUUGCACGUGGAAGUGGUACAUACAUACAUGCAUACAUACAUACAUACAUACAUACAUACAUACAUACAUACAUGCAUGCAUACAUACAUAUUUACACAGCUAAACCAUAACACACGCGGCAACCGAGCUAGCUAGCCGC